rnacentral:rRNA from 1 species
UACGAAGGGUGCAAACGUUGCUCGGAAUCAUUGGGCGUAAAGCGCACGUAGGCGGCCUCAUAAGUCGGAUGUGAAAUCCCUCGGCUCAACCGAGGACGUGCAUUCGAAACUGCGAGGCUCGAGUAUGGAAGAGGGUCGCGGAAUUCCCGGUGUAGAGGUGAAAUGCGUAGAGAUGUGGAGGAACACCAGUGGCGAAGGCGACUCUUUGGCCUGUAACUGACGCUGAGGCGCGAAAGCGUGGGGAGCAAACAGG